rnacentral:rRNA from 1 species
CCAUAAACCUAGGUAGUAUGUUAACAAGACUACUCGCCAGAGUACUACAAGCAACAGCUUAAAACUCAAAGGACUUGGCGGUGCUUUACACCCCCCUAGAGGAGCCUGUUCUAUAAUCGAUAAACCCCGAUAAACCUCACCACUUCUUGCUAAUACAGCCUAUAUACCGCCAUCUUCAGCAAACCCUAUCAAGGACCAAAAGUAAGCAAGAGAAUAAUACAUUAAAACGUUAGGUCAAGGUGUAGCCUAUGAAGUGGAAAGAAAUGGGCUACAUUUUCUGCUUAUACAGAACAACAAACGCCACCCUCUAUGAAAUAUAAAGGCAAAGGCGGAUUUAGAAGUAAAUUAAGAAUAGAGAGCUUAAUUGAAUAGGGCAAUGAAGC